rnacentral:piRNA from 1 species
GACACUUGUGGAGGAGUCGGCAGAGCAGGC